AUGUCCCCUGCAUCGGCAGGUGGACUUUCAACCACUGUGCCACCAGGGAAGCCCUUAAAUGUUUUAAUAUUUUAUCAAUUUAUUUUUUCUGCUGUUUCAUUUCUGAAGUGCCAUUGUGUUUGAAACUUACCAGAACAAACAUACAGUACUUCAGGCGACUGAAGGUUCAUCUGCCUUACUGAGUCCUUGGAGCCCUUAGCCGCACUUAGAGCAUCGUUGCUGUGGGGACAGAGAGUGCAACAAACAACUUACAAUGAACUUUUUAAAGUUCUGUUUGUAAAUUGAAGGUUUCCUGUAUGGAUAACUAUGUUCCCUUUUUUUAUUCUGUAGUUCAAAUAUUUUAAUCAGAUUAAAGUGGAGGAGUUUUCACAGUAUGUUGUCAGAUGUAACCCUGACAAUUAACUGGCAACAGUUAAUGAUUAGUGACAGCCACCAGCACCUAUGAAAGCGUCUAUCGUAAACCACCGUGCUGUGCAAGCAUGUUGUUUACGUCAUUUGGCUUCAUCUCUUGACAACCCUGAGUUCAGUUUUUAUCUGAUCAGCCCAUUUUAAACAGAAGGAACCCAAUGCCGGGCAACGGUUGACUGAGGUCACACAGCUGGAAGCAGGGACCAUGGAAUCGCCACCCACAGCUGUCCACCCAGACCACUGGACUGAUUAUGCUCCAGCAUCCUGCUGAGGCAAAGGAUGGGCCCAAAUUCUUCGUGGAACAGAAGCCUGGGACUGGCCUGGCACACGGAUUGCAAAGCUGGAAAUGCUGCAACACAAUGUCCUGCAAAGAAGAUCAGACUUCCGCCUUGAUAGGCAGACAGCUCUGAUGGAAGCCCCUCAAUCACAACCUAUGUUCCUUGGGCCCAUAAUUAAGAAACUUAGAAAGACUCUUGAAACCAGCUGGAAAAGUAUGCUGUCUUGCCGGCAGAGUUUCAAACAGGCUGAUGAUUACCAUGGGUCAGCCUUGGCGUCCACGAGCCCUCAUCACAGUUGAUUAUAUGAAACGUACUUUUUGCCAGCCUCGUCAAAAGGAAAUACAGUAAGAUUCGGUGGGUCGAUCUCAUUUUCUCGAGUGCAGACAAGGCUUCACAGUGAUCUGAGACUCAACUUUGUUCUCCCCAGAAGGAGCAGCAGAGUCUGUACGACCCCUCUGGCACAGCUGAGCCAGUGUUUCUGGAAUCACUAACUGAGAACAUUUUCCUCCCCGUGAACUGCCAGAAGUUUCUUGGGUUUAUUCAAGCUAAUCUGUAUUCCAGAACAAUUCCGGACGAGAUUUGUUAGGAAUACUUCAACAAGGUGCUGUUUGGAAAACACUGCAUGGAGAAAUGGGGUGGCAGGGAAAAGCGUCUCACUCUGAAUCACUCGGGCCUGGGCCGGUCCUAAGCCAGAUUGCAGCAGAUGCCUUUUUGGUAGCUCAAGAAGAUGCUUGCCUUGUUAAGCCCUGCCCAGCUGUGCCACCUCCUGCUUUCCUAUCGCAGGGGAAGGACUACUGAGUGUCUAAUGUCUUAUUUGGGUUCCCCCAGCAGUGAACCCUAAGGUAAGUUCCAGGGAGGCAACAGCAGCCUGGGAAGGAGGAGAGAAUUCAACUCCUAAGCACCCCGCAGGACAGAAGUUUGAGGACAGCACAGAUGGUUUGGCCAGGCCCGUGGACUGUGGAGAAAUGAGCACUCGGGGACAGCCAGGAGGCAGAGGCAAGCGGAGAUCACGAUGUCAGCCUGCAGGGAGAAGGAUAUUUGCCCUGCUUCUGGGUGAAGGCAGAAGAGAGAAGGCAGCGGCUGAACGUGUUAAGUCAGAGGCCCGGUUGAUAGUGGAAGAUGGCUGGACACCAGCUGAUGGUGUGCACUCGUUAUCAGGGCUUCAGCUCUUGGGGCCAGUUCCGAUGGGCGUGCAGGACGCCCCGUGGGGCCGGAAACAAGGGGAGCAGCUGCAUGCGAUUUAGAAGCUUCACUACCCAGCUCUACCCAACCUAAGCUUCCUGAACUUGAUCAUCAUAUCCUGAUUAUGGAAGGGGAGGUUCCUGUUCCUAGGGGACACAGGUGACCUCUCGAGGGAUCAAGUGCCGUGACCCUGCACGUGUCCCCAGAAGUCGAGGGCGGCUUCCUGGGAAGAUGCUGACAGAGGACGUUGUUAACAGGAACAAAGCAUCACCGAUUCAGCGAAGGCCUCCUGUGUACCCGUUCCAGUCCUUCCCCCCCGCCCCCGCCCCUCCUGACCGUCUCCCGCCAUCAAUUUGGUGUUUCUCCUUCACGUCCCCAGGUUGUUUGUGAAAUGCCUCUACAAGUGGAUGUCUGUGGUCUGGCCCAUUCGAUCUGCCUGUAAUACACCCCAUGGAUUUCAGCCUGGCUCCUGUUAAGGGACGUCUACGUCUUUCCUCCAGACAAGCGGUGCUGCCAUUGCCGUUCUCACCCACGGCUGCUUGAGCCUCCGAGACGGUGGCCCAGAGGGCUGACGGCUUUCUGGGACACGCUCUCCUCAAGGCCAAAACUGGAGCGCAAGAGGCCAAGCCAAACCACGGAAGCUCACGUAAAGACCCUGCUCCCGUGCGGUGUGGACUGUCUGCUUGUAGAGUCCAUUGGACAGAGAAGUCCUGAGUUGCUGGCGGAGCCUGCUCCACCCGCAGUGACAUACUGGUGGGAGCAGGAGGGCGAGGAGAAUGGUGCGCAGGCCAAGCCGCCCUCCACGGGUGCAGACCUUCUGCUGCCGUGCCCCUCCUCCCACACGCGUGCGUAUGCACAUGCACACGCAUACACUCAGCCACAGCCUGUCCUCACCCUUCCUCCACUGUUCCCUCCUGCCCACUCCCCCCCGCCCCCAGUUCUUUCCAGAGCUGAAUUGGGUUGGGGAGUGACCAGGUGCCUGGUGCACUGAUAAAUAAGAAAGCAAAGGCAUCACCAGGAAGUAACGUAUUAGGAUUUUCAACAGCCAAGACGUGGAAGCAGUGUAAAUGCCCAUCAACAGAGGAAUGGAUAAAGAAGCUGUGGUACAUAUAUACAAUGGAGUAUUUCU